rnacentral:rRNA from 1 species
AUACGGAGGGUGCAAGCGUUAAUCGGAAUUACUGGGCGUAAAGCGCGCGUAGGCGGUUUAGUCAGUCAGAUUUGAAAGCCCCGGGCUCAACCUGGGAACUGCAUUUGAUACUGCUGAACUAGAGUAUGGUAGAGGGAAGUGGAAUUCCGGGUGUAGCGGUGAAAUGCGUAGAUAUCCGGAGGAACACCAGUGGCGAAGGCGACUUCCUGGACCAAUACUGACGCUGAGGUGCGAAAGCGUGGGUAGCAAACAGGAUUAGAAACCCUGGUAGUCC